rnacentral:tRNA from 1 species
GUUCUCUUAGUAUUGACCAGUACAGUUGACUUCCAAUCAACUAGCUUCGGUCCAAACCCGAAAUAGAACA